UUUAAGACCGGCUUAGGGGUUGCAGCGACAUCCUCCCGACCUGUUUGGGAGAUACAGCGGAAAACCCGACCCUCU
rnacentral:sRNA from 1 species